CAGCCGCCGCGGUAAUACGUAGGGUGCAAGCGUUAAUCGGAAUUACUGGGCGUAAAGCGUGCGCAGGCGGUUAUAUAAGACAGAUGUGAAAUCCCCGGGCUCAACCUGGGAACUGCAUUUGUGACUGUAUAGCUAGAGUACGGCAGAGGGGGAUGGAAUUCCGCGUGUAGCAGUGAAAUGCGUAGAUAUGCGGAGGAACACCGAUGGCGAAGGCAAUCCCCUGGGCCUGUACUGACGCUCAUGCACAAAAGCGUGGGGAGCAAACAGGAUUAGAUACCCCGGUAGUCCCUGUCUCUUAUAC
rnacentral:rRNA from 1 species